rnacentral:misc_RNA from 1 species
GAAAUGCGAUAAGUAAUGUGAAUUGCAGAAUUCAGUGAAUCAUCGAAUCUUUGAACGCACAUUGCGCCCGCCAGUAUUCUGGCGGGCAUGCCUGUCCGAGCGUCAUUUCAACCAUCAAGCCCCCGGGCUUGUGUUGGGGACCUGCGGCUGCCCGCAGGCCCUGAAAACCAGUGGCGGGCUCGCUAUCACACCGAGCGUAGUAGCAAUCACCUCGCUCAGGGCGUGCUGCGGGUUCCGGCCGUUAAACAGCCUUACAAAACCCAAGGUUGACCUCGAAUCAGGUAGGAAUACCCGCUGAACUUAAGC